GGAGCUGUUUAAAGAGGUGCUGUUUAAAGGGGUGCUGUUUAAAGAGGUGCUGUUUACUCACUGGAUGUUCUGGUAGACCUCCACGGAGCUGUUUAAAGAGGUGCUGUUUAAAGGGGUGCUGUUUACUCACUGGAUGUUCUGGUAGACCUCCACGGAGCUGUUUAAAGAGGUGCUGUUUAAAGAGGUGCUGUUUAAAGGGGUGCUGUUUAAAGAGGUGCUGUUUACUCAC